rnacentral:rRNA from 1 species
GAUGAAUGCUGGCGGCGUGCCUAACACAUGCAAGUCGAGCGGUAAGGCCCUUCGGGGUACACGAGCGGCGGACGGCUGAGUAACGCGUGGGAAUUUGCCCCAAAGUGAGGAAUAACUGCCCGAAAGGGUAGCUAAUGCCGCAUAUGGUCUUCGGAUUAAAGGAUUUAUCCGCUUUGGGAGAAGCCCGCGUUGGAUUAGGUAGUUGGUGAGAUAAAAGCUCACCAAGCCAACGAUCCAUAGCUGGUCUGAGAGGAUGACCAGCCAGACUGGAACUGAGACACGGUCCAGACUCCUACGGGAGGCAGCAGUGAGGAAUCUUCCACAAUGGGCGAAAGCCUGAUGGAGCAACGCCGCGUGCAGGAUGAAGGCCUUCGGGUUGUAAACUGCUUUUAUGAGUGAAGAAUAUGACGGUACCUAAUGAAUAAGGACCUGCUAACUAUGUGCCAGCCGCCGCCGUAA